rnacentral:rRNA from 1 species
AUUGAACGCUGGCGGCGUGCCUUACACAUGCAAGUCGAACGGCAGCACGGGGCAACCUGGUGGCGAGUGGCGAACGGGUGAGUAAUGCAUCGGGACGUACCUUUCAGUGGGGGAUAACGUAGCGAAAGUUACGCUAAUACCGCAUAUUCUGUGAGCAGGAAAGCAGGGGAUCGCAAGACCUUGCGCUGAUUGAGCGGCCGAUGUCAGAUUAGCUAGUUGGUGAGGUAAAGGCUCACCAAGGCGACGAUCUGUAGCGGGUCUGAGAGGAUGAUCCGCCACACUGGAACUGAGACACGGUCCAGACUCCUACGGGAGGCAGCAGUGGGGAAUUUUGGACAAUGGGGGCAACCCUGAUCCAGCCAUGCCGCGUGAGUGAAGAAGGCCUUCGGGUUGUAAAGCUCUUUCGGCCGGGAAGAAAUCGCACGGGCUAAUACCCUGUGUGGAUGACGGUACCGGAAUAAGAAGCACCGGCUAACUACGUGCCAGCCGCCGCCGUAAUAC